rnacentral:lncRNA from 1 species
GCAAAGCUUAACAACACAAACUGUGGGGGGGCUGUAAUAACAAACGAUGUAAAACCUGUUAAGUUUCAUUCUUAAUAUUUGGGAAAACUGUGGGAGUACAAGCCAUUUCAGCAUGGAAAAAUUCUCAAACAUUUGUUGAGACCUGCUGGUAAUUUCAACAAAUGUUUGAGAAUUUUCAAUAAUUUAGGAGUUACAAAAAAUAAUUGGAUAUUAAGACCAUAUUCCUAUUUUUAACAAGAAUUGUGAUUUUUUUAAAUAUCAGGAUUUUUUUAAAAAUGAUAGGGAGUUUCAAAUAUGUUUGUGCUUUAAAAACUGUUCACUAUUUUUUUUAAAUCACGUUUUAUUUUUUCACAAUUGAAAAAACGUCCGUGUUUUUAAUAUAAAAUAAAUUUAAAUGACUGCAAAAAACACGAACUACAGUGCUUCAAGUCACCACAGUACCGCUGAGUUGAUACAGUGUCACCGAUUUGCUAGUGUACGCACAGGAAAAAAACGAGAAGCACCUGAGUGUCGCUUUAUAGACCCGCGCGUGCGAUGCGUCAUAUAAGAGUUGCCGUCUUUUCUUUGGGUUCAGGUCGACUAUUGCCCUGCAACUGCAAUGAAUAAAGCACAACUCCCAGGAAAAACAAAGCCCAAUUCACGUAUAUUUUUACCCUAAAAAAAUCACGUAUAUUUUUGAAAUAUACGUGAACAUUUUGUAAAAUUACAUGAACAUUUAAAGAGAGAGAAAUGUAAACACUAUUUUUCCAGAUUAAAUGAACAUUUAGUAAAAUACGAGAACGCUUGUUUAAAACUCACAUCGACAAAAUUUUGCAUUAUUUAUUCCAACCAGGUUAUGUAAUAUUUUAACAGUUUUUCCAAAAUGCAUAUACAGUUAGAACAUUUUGAAAUGUAUGUUUAGAAGAAAAAAAUACAAAAUUAGCAUAGUUAAUUAGUAUAGCAAAACUGGAGCUGUAAAUAUAGAUUAGCACACGCCGGAGAGGUGGAAAGUCCAAUUCGCAUCGCAUCUCAAACAACAGAGGCGUGGCAUGCCAUUAUCAAUCCACAAUGCAUUAUUUAACCAAAAAUAACGACUUGUAUCUAGGAUUGGACUCCUCUGGAGUUCCACAAUGAGCAGAGCAGUGUACUCCUCUGUUUUUUCUUUUUUUUUUUUGCUGCAUUUGCAGUUUUUCCUCUUUUGGCUUUGGUUGUGCAUGCACGUCCACUCAACUGAUUACUUGCAUGUAUCUAGCGAACGACCUCAUCCACGACUCCAGGUCUCAGAUUCAGAUUCACAUGUGAAGCUGCCAAAUCGUAGACAUUAAGCCUAGCAUUGCGCUAACAACAGUUACACCGAAUAGCAUUGGCAUCAUCCAUCAGUUAGUCCGUGGCCACGGAACAAAAUCAUGAUCGGAACACUGAAAAAAAAAACACAAUUCUUCCGUACCUAAAAAAAACAACCACGUCGCACCUUGCCACCCUUUGGAUAACUAGUCCCUUCUUGGAAUGCUCUGCUCUGCUCUGUUGGCUGCUGCUGCUGCUGCAUCCACAAAUUAAAGCCCACUUCUCUUCUUUAAAGGAAGGAAGGAAGGAAGGAAGGACAUCCCACUGCGACUGUGAGCCAUUUUUUAGGUCGAUAUUCUGCAAGACAAUUAUAUCAGCUGGUGCUUGAGGAAUGUGGACUUUACCCUUAGAAAGCAACAACAUUCUGGCGACAAACAUACAGAUUCGAGCAGUUCAGCAUAUCAAGACAGACAAUUGCUUGAACACUCAAUCAUUAAUUUUGAGGGAAACCCCAAAAGUGAGAACAAAGUGUCAAGUAGGUACUCACCUUUCAGCAUAUCAACACAGACAAUUGCCCUGUUCACUUCUGUUUGUUUGUUGUUUGUUUGUACUGGGACUGCAGGAUCCAAUAAGUACAAUAAAUGAACUUGGAUCAGAAUCUGAACAGAGAACAAGGUAGCUUAAACACCCAAUCAGUCAUUACCUUACAUGGAGUCAAGGAUCAAUGCCAGCCAAUCAAACCUAAACCUGUAUGCAUGCAUGCAAUCUCCCUGCAAGAUUGUACGUAGCUGCCUGGGUUCAAUAGUUUCACUACUCUGCCCCAGCAUAGGUUGCUAAUCCUCACUGCUUCGGUCCUAGAGGAAUAAUUCAGUAUCAGGCCAUAUUUCAAGAAUCAAACAAAUUGGAAAGCAUUCUCUUCUCUCUUGUAGAAUUCAAUUUCAUUUCACGAUAAUAUACUAGGUUACAUCCAUACCAUUCUGCACCACCAAGACAAGACAGGACAGAGCUGCUUUUUUACAAAGCAGCAGCAUCGUCCUGCCAAAGGAAAGGAUUCAAGAAAGAGGAAAUAAAGGCACUUGAUUCAUUCAUUCAUUCAUGGUAAGAAAAGAAAGAAAAUAGUUAUUCGUUUUGAGUAACAGCAGGCAGUUAAAUACCUCUUCCUCGCUGCUACUGAUGCCAACAGUUAAAUUGGCCUCUUCUGUUCAGUCCUGCUGCUUCAUGCGAAAAAGGAGCACAAGCCUGAUAAUAAUUCCAUGAUUCAAGUCUCGAUCACUUCUUGCAGCUACGAAUCAAGUCUUCUUCUUGAAAUGAGUGAGUGAGUGAGUGAUGUCUAGCACGCCCUUUUUUAUUUCAUAGGGAACAGAAGCCUGACAAAGAAAAUGCACUCAUGUAUAUUAUGAAAAGUUACAUCAACGGUGUAUCAAUCGCAAGUCUACUAGCAGAAAAGGGUACAAAAAGAAGUGGAUGAAAAGAAGCAUGCGUUGGGCUGUGAAUGUAGUCAUAAAUUAAGCACAUAUUAUAAUCUAGAGAAAGCAAGCAGGAGAAAGAUAAAUAAGCAAGCCAAAGUGGUUGCUUUGCACUAUGCAAUGAAUGCAGUCAUAAAUUAAAGGAUCAGAAAUUUGGUUCUGGAGGUACUAACUGUAGAAGUGUAUGCUCUAGCCAAUGCAACCAAAGGACCGAUUUGAUGGAAGAGACUAGGCAACACAUUAUAUGUCAACACUAACCGGCAGAUUGAGUUGAGUUGCAGAGAAAUAUCGAUCAUGUAGCAGAAUGAAGAGUUAACAACUAGCGUUGCAUGCAGAAUGAAGAGUUGGUUGCAUCUGCCGAUUAAUGUGUGCAUAAAAGAUUGAUUGCAACAGUGGUGGAGUGGAGUGGGACCUGCUAGUCUGUAAGAUUUGACAAGUUAAGAUGAAGCAGAGAUAUGGUGAAUAAACCUUGCUUCAGAAAUAGAAAAACAAGAAAAAUAGGGAGGCGACAAGUAUCAC